CUGCCCCUGCCCUGGUGUAUCUGGAAGCAGUGGUAAUCCGCCCUCCCCUCUUCCCCCAGUCACUGGUCUCCAGGGGUCACAAAGGGAGGGCAAACAUCUAUUCUCCUGCUGCCUGGUCAAGCCCCACCCCCUCGGAACUUGCUGUCUCCCUCAGUAGGGCAGGUGGAAGGGAGCAAUCCAGCUGCCUCCCGCGAAGGGCUGGGGUUCUACAAAGUGCAGUGGCCCCAUCUGCAGGGCACGCCACUGCAGAAUUGGACCUUGGGGAGGAAGGAAGGUUUGCUUCUUCUGCAGCGCCUCUGCCUGCCACAGCUCAGGGCUGAAGACUUGCUCCACCGCGUGCCGCCCUGGGACGGCAAAUUUCAAUGGGAACUCUAGCCUGAGGCCUCUCCUUUGGGUGGUCCUUUCACUGCCAGCGGUUUCCCUGGUCCUUGGGUUUGGUGUCUUUGUGGGCCUGAGCCAGAAGCUCUGGGAAACAACAGUGAACAGGCUCAAUAAAUAAUCCUUUCAAACCUACUGAAAGCAGUUGUGGAGAAGUUAUUCGUGACAACUAGAACAGAACUACUUCGCAUGUGAGAAACUUCCUCCAAGUCCGC
rnacentral:lncRNA from 13 species